rnacentral:tRNA from 1 species
UCUAAUAUGGCAGAUAAGUGCAUUGGAUUUAAGCUCCAAAUAUAAAGGAUAUACCCUUUUAUUAGUA